rnacentral:lncRNA from 1 species
CUGUAAAAUAAUAAUAUGUACAUACUCGAUAAUUUCCGACCUCAAUAUCCUACACUAACAAGUACACUAUUAUAAGAAAACUUGGAGCCAGAUGUUCAACUCAAUUUAGGAAAAAGUAAGAAAAAGAAGAAUGAUUAAAUAAAAUAACGAGGACCAAAGCAGCCUACUUACACAAAUCCUUUCCGGUGGGGGUGCGUCUGCGUCCCUUUUAGGGUACAUUGUAUACGUUUGCCCGCACCUUAUACUUUCUACCUCGAAAUUGGAGACUGCGACAGCGGUUAGUUGAAAUUCAAUCAUCACAACCAAAAGGGAAUAAAUAAACAAGCGAAAAAUAUAUUAUUGGAUUAGGAAAAGAGGGAUCCCGACUCAAUCGAUCACAAUUACUCGAAUAAGUUUCUACGUAGGAUUAGACAAUCAUUGGAGUUUGUACGGUAUAUUUCUAUUUAUGUAUGUUUAUAGUAAUUUUCUGUUUCAGGAGUUAAUGGAUUUGAUGAAUUAGAAGUGACUCUUCAUGAUACUAAUUACAUUCAUCCUGUAAUUAAACUCUAAUGGUUCAUGGUAGAUACUAGAAAAGUUUUAGUGCUUUAUUUAAUGAGAUGAUAUGUGAUAUCCUCUCGUGUCAUCCAUCAGUCCACACAUCGACUCCGAGUCCCGGAAUAUUUGAUAAGAGACGAAAUCACAACCUCUUCCAUAUAAUGAGACAUUCCAUGUACUGCUCCAAAGUUGAAUAUCUCGGAAAAGUCGAGACCCCUCUCCUCGUACUCCAAUAAUAUAUUAUUCGCUUUGUAAAGUUAUUUCCUUAUUAUUAAAAGGUUGCAAUAUAUGAAUUUUAACUAUCCAUUGUCGCUGUCUCCAACUUCGUAAUAGUGAGAGAAUGUUUGACGUCCUCCCAAACUCAUACAAUAUACCCCCCCCCUCUCUUUUCUGCAGCUCAUACAACUAAGGAGGUCAAUCCAUGAUGAUGAUGAUCGACACAAGGUGUUUACCACACGUAUCGUCAACACCAUUCUUAUUGAAAUCUAAAAGAAAAGUCGUGAAUUGAGAGAAAAUGGAUGAUUAGCAAUAAAUAAAGGAAUGGGAAAAUUUCUCUUAUGUACGUUUGAAAUUUCUAACCCUGUGGUUAAUCAUUCUAUUGGUGCAAAUAAUAAUAACAAACAAUUCAUGAUUUGAACCAAUGAGAAAAGUGAAUUCUUCCACCAUUCAAAUUAGGGAUAUAUCCCUUUUCGUGUUUCAAUCCCAUAUUUCAAAUGCUUCUACAGAAUAUAUUAGAUCAUUUGUAUUAAAUAAUAGCAGAGAGUGUUGUCAAAUUUUUAUUGUUGGAGCAAUGCACUUUGUUUCUAUUUAUAUAAUAUUUGCAAAAGAGCUCCUGUCCCAAUAUUAUUUCCUCGGAAUGAGGUCAUCAUCCCAUUUUUUCCCUUUUUCUCUCUCUUUUUCCCCUUUUCUUCUUUUCAAAGCAUUGAACUUUUUAUAAUCAUAUUGUGUAUAAUACUAGGGUCUAAAAACAGUUUCAUUCAAUCAUCAAUGAUUCACAUACAUAGAUCAAGAGUAACGUUAUAUAUACACUUCAUAUGAUAUCUACACAUUGGAUCAUAAUUAGUGCUUGAUGCGGAUCAGUAAUUUUAAUUUUUUUAUGUCAGAGGAGUGAAAA